rnacentral:lncRNA from 1 species
AGCAACAUCACCUGUGAGUAAUUAAGCAUCUCUCGAGAAUUGCUGAAGUUGGCUUUCAAUUCUUGGCCUUGUUACAAAUAGCUACUUAGGCUAGUUGGACCCUGCCUAACGGUUGCGUUGCAGAUUAUAAUGCCCAAUAUGAGCCGGGAAGUAAGAAGGCGUUAUGGCCAACAUGUGUUUUUCAACAAGGCUCGCAGUCACCUGUGGCACAGGCAGGUUAACUGCAGGUCACCACUAAAAAUAUGCGGACGUAUCCAGUUCAGGGGCUCUGACACCAAGCAAGGCUUUUACACGCGAAUGAGGCAUGUUGGAACACCUGAAGAAUAUUGGAAGCUAAAUCAGUUUUCAUCCAAAUCUGAAGACUUACAAAUAAAUCACUUCAAGCCUUUGAUAUGGAGUGCCAACACAUCUUAGGACCCUUGAAUCUACAUGGUCUUGGGUACAGCAUCCCUGAGACUCUACUAGAGGUUUGUUUAGGUAUCGCUCCACAUUUCACGCCCAUGUCUGCAAUGACUUGACCUGCUUCCUGGCCUGUAACUUCAUCAAAAGUCCAUACGGUUCUGAUGGUUCCAAAACUGGGUUGUUCCAAC